rnacentral:rRNA from 1 species
GUUUCGUAGGUGACCUGCGGAAGGAUCAUUGUCGA